ACGCUCGACACCUACGGGGCAGCAGUGGGGAAUAUUGCACAAUGGGGGAAACCCUGAUGCAGCGACGCCGCGUGAGUGAAGAAGUAUUUCGGUAUGUAAAGCUCUAUCAGCAGGGAAGAAGAUGACGGUACCUGAGUAAGAAGCCCCGGCUAACUACGUGCCAGCAGCCGCGGUAAUCUGAGGCGGGCUGGCAAGGC
rnacentral:rRNA from 1 species